AAGUCGUAACAAGGUAACCGUAGGUGAACCUGCGGUUGGAUCAUUAAAGAAUUUUUAUAUGAUAUUUCCUAAGGCAGAGGUGAUGAGCCUUUGUAUUUAGGGAAACAUUUUGUGAACCUUAAAGGGGAGUAGUAAUGAUUUAUCAUUAUUAUUUCCCUUUGCUUAUUCAAACUUGUAAUAAAAAUCUGCCUAAAAAAGCAUUUACAUAUCCAGAUAUGUUCAAAUCAAAAAACAACUUUUGACAACGGAUCUCUUGGCUCUC
rnacentral:misc_RNA from 1 species